rnacentral:tRNA from 1 species
AGAAAGUGGUGUAGAAGAAGCACUAAGA